CCACUUGCACCGCCUACUCUCCAGCAGCAACUGUUGUCGCCGCCGCCUCACCGCGUGGGAACGGGAGCAAAACCCCGUGCUGACGAUGUACCUGGCGCGGUGGUGCAACCGUACCCGCACGGCCACCGCCGCGCGUCGUCGAGGCACGCGGCCCCGUCCCUGUCGUGCCGGUCCAUGGCCCCACCGUCGUCGUGCGCAGCAAGUACCAAUACCAUCCCCGUAAGGUGGAGUUCAGCUGCAAGAGCACGCUGGCGCCAUCUGCCCUACAUCAGAGCCCCUAGUGGCGGUAUGAGCCUCGCACUACCUCUCUGCCAUCAGGCCUUGCCGUGCAAGGUUCCUUUCUUACUUCCGCUAUUUCUGUCAAUAGUACUUCUCACAAGGCCUCAGUUCAACCACAACGCAUUCUCUAGGUGUUCCUAAUGAAGGGAAGAAUACAAAGUAGCUAGCAGUUACCUUUAUCUAACAAAUUUUUGCAAGUGAUAUAUCGACCGUUUGUGCACAACAGAAGAGCAAUAUUUAUUACAACUAAUAUAUUGCAUUCAGUCAAGCAGACAACUGAAGAUGCUAGAAAAUGUUACCUUGAAAAAAAUGAUCAUACCAUUACAAGCAAGUAUAUGGGGGUUUCCUCUCUGAACCUUAAGCUGUAACUCAAAUAUUUCUCGAUCUCAACUCCUAUCCUCAAGUCAUAAUAACUGAGACAUGAGUCGUUAAUUGGUUUAUUACUAGACCAUGCAUUGUUUGGAUGCAAGUAUGGAUUGUAGAUGUGUAACCAAAAACAGGAAAAAAUUAAAAAAUCCAAAACCAAGAUUCUGUCUAUCAGUGGAUAUUACCAAACAAAUGGCAUCGAACUGCUACAACAUACAACCUGCCUAAAGUUCUCCUAAGCAUACUUAGCGCUCCAUCUGUGCACUCCUAAGUAAAGGGUGAACAUUUCAGUUCUGGAACUCAGUUGCAUGCUCCGGUAAACCUCAUUCUUCAGUACAAAGAUUUCCAUGUCUAUUAUGUGAUGUUCUAAUUAUCAAUUGUUUGCUAUUUGAAAAUACUAGAAUUUGUUGUGCAAUCAUGUCUACAAAUAAUUUGAAAUUAUCCUGUGCUUUUUUCAAUUAACAGAAUUUUGAUUUUUUAGACUUCUUUUCUAGAUGCUAAGUUGAACAAUAUAGAGUAGUUUUUAGUGCUUGCCUAUGUGGUUAAUGAUACAAUAUAGGUUUUUCAAGCUCGUAUUUUGGAUGCAUGCUAUUGUUACUUUGUUAGUGUGUUCACAGAUUUUGUGUUCAGCUAUGCAAAUAACCACCUCAUAGCCUUAUGUCAUGUCACACCUGUUUUAGAGAAUCUGAAGAUAGCUUGCCUCACUUCACAGACAAGUAUUUUUUUAAGUUUCAUGUUUUACCCCAUUAAGUCAUUGUUUGUCUAAACCAUUGCUUAGAUGUUGUAUGUAUGUCUGUUGGAUAUCUCAAUUGUUAUGACUGGGGAUAAUGGAAUCACAACCAUAUGUACUCUCUCGAAACAUUCUGCAACUGUUUAACUAGGUGCUGGUGUCUUGCAAAAGCUAUGGUCUCUGUACAUAGAAGUCACUGAUGAUUCCUAUUUUCAGGUUGCUGCGGAGAAGUUUGUGAGUUUAUCUAUUCUGAUAAUGGAACUGUAACCAUGGUAUAUCAUGUGAAUAUUUAAAGGAACUGAUAGAGAGAUACAAUCAAUCUCAAAUGAACUUAAGGAUAAUAAGGGUCAACAUGAGAUAUGUUGUUCUAAAAUUGAAACAAUAAAGGGUAAAUGGCUUCCAACUCUGUGGAUUCAUUCGUAACUUUCAAGAAAUGGCAGUUGCUCACUACUAACAGCUUAUCUACAACCUAAUGAAAUUCGUUGGUAGUGUCCACUUCAUAUGUCAUAAGUUGAAGAGCAUAAAUAUUCUGAAAGCUCACGGUAAAAGCAUCAAGGAUAGUUACAUGCUAAAUGGCUAUGCACUAAAGACUAAACACAGGCCGUGCAGGUCAAGGAAUGCCUAUGAGAGUAACUCCUACUAGAAUUACUUCUCUUGAUUUUAACACUCAUAAGACAAAAAUGCAAACAGAUCCAAGGGAACUUGAUAAGAUUCGUCAGAGUUAUUUGUAUUCUAUGUUCCAAUACUUUAGAAUUUGUUUGCCUAUUUAUGGUAGAAUCAACACUAUAAAUACAUAAUAUUUAUAUCUUCCUUCAUGUUACUUGUUUCUAAUUCGUUCAGGCAAUAGUCCUCUGUCUUUUUAAAUUUUUUGGCUCUAAAUUCAUUGGUCCUAUUUUGA